UACAGAGGUCUCAAGCGUUGUUCGGAUUCAUUGGGCGUAAAGGGUGUGUAGGUGGCGCCGUAAGUCGGGUGUGAAAUUUCGGAGCUUAACUCCGAAACUGCAUUCGAUACUGCGGUGCUUGAGGACUGGAGAGGAGACUGGAAUUCAUGGUGUAGCAGUGAAAUGCGUAGAGAUCAUGAGGAAGACCAGUGGCGAAGGCGGGUCUCUGGACAGUUCCUGACACUGAGGCGCGAAAGCCAGGGGAGCAAACGGG
rnacentral:rRNA from 1 species